UACAGAGGUGGCAAGCGUUGUUCGGAAUUACUGGGUGUAAAGGGCGCGUAGGCGGCCUGUUAAGUCCCGUGUGAAAUCCCUCGGCUCAACCGAGGAACUGCACGGGAAACUGGCGGGCUUGAGUUCGGGAGAGGGAAGCGGAAUUCCGGGUGUAGCGGUGAAAUGCGUAGAUAUCCGGAGGAACACCGGUGGCGAAGGAGGCUUCCUGGACCGACACUGACGGUGAGGCGCGAAAGCUAGGGGAGCAAACGGG
rnacentral:rRNA from 1 species